rnacentral:lncRNA from 1 species
UAAAUUUGUAUAAAUAGGUUAUUUCAAUGUCAGAAACCUUCAAAAUUAUUUUUCUUCACGAUUAAAACAAGUUUUAAGUCGGAAAUCGUUGAAGAUGAGUACAAAUGUUUACCGUCAAGUAUUAGAAAAUUAGAAAUUUCUGUGUGUCAAAAUUAAAAUUUACUCCUUGUUGGAAGGAUUCCGCCCUAUGCCACUCAACAUAAAUGACUAAUAAAAAGAAAGAAAAGUCGGCCUUGAGAAAAUAAUUAUUGUAAGUCAUUGCAAAUGCCCCGAAGUGAUGAAAAACGAUGCUCCGUUUUCGUCAGAGCGGAACGACUAGCCUAUAUUUAGUAUGUUAAUGGCAGUUAUGGAUUUAUAAACGUUGUAAUAUAGUUUAAUAUUGUUUUAUUUAUCGGGCGGUCAAUGCUUACUAUCCUACGUUCCAUCUUUAUAAAGAUUUCACGUGGCGCAGGCAUGUAAAACAACAAAAAGGAAUGCAGAGAUGGUGCAGUUUGUUUUUGCCGUCGUUAGAGCUUGGGAACGUAAUUGCAUCUUUAAAAACAUAGGUUAUGGGUUUCUGACAUGGACCUUUACUACAAAAGUUAUAAAUCACCCACAAUUUAUAAAUAGGUCGACAGUAAUCGUGGUUAACAUCAUAAGGACCGACCUACGUAGGGGCGCAAACAGAAGGCAUCAUAACAGCAACUCUUGUAAUGACGUCACGAAUUCGUGGUAUCUAACCUGUCGAUAACACUGAUCGUAGCGUGUCCCAAAUACUCCCAAAUUUAUGCACCUCGGAUUUUUACUUUGUUUCAUCGGCAGGGCGUUUAGCAGAAUCUCCUUUCCUGCUAGAGAAAAUUGAAUUUUUUGGUAAAGAGCUUGUUAAUCUUAAUUCAGGUUGUACAUCUCAAAGUAAUACAAACGUCUCCAUAUUUUUAACAAUAGACAAUAACCUUAUUUUUCCCCGAUAAAGAUCUAUCGAAACUUUACUGAAAUGAUAGGAACUGCGAAGUUGCAGAUGCAAAGCGUAUAGCCCCGGGCUAGACUUAUCUGUAUGAACUAAAAACUUAAUGCACGGGGGAUAAUUUAUGUCAGGAUGAAGGAAUUCGGUAAUGGUGUCCUUAUCUAGUAAAAGAGUUGCUGAUAAAUCCCGAUUUUUAAGACUUGCAACAAGCAUCUAACCUAGACUAACCUUGCUAAUGAAUAGGCGGAUAGUUACAGAAUUAUUAAGAAUUAUAUAGAUUUUAGUCGGGUGCUUGGAUUCAUGAUGAUUGUUUUGUACUUUAGAUUAAUAAUAAAGGAAAUGAUGACACAAAUUGCAAAGCAUCACUCCCGUUCCUAAGAGAAUUGGAACUCGUUAGUCUCCUCUUUUUCUUGGUUUGAAUUUGAUGCAGUUAUCUUCCGAAUCAUCUCAGUAGAUAAUCCUUUAACAGGUCGAAUUUAAUUUAUUUUCAAGACUUCAUAUUAGAAUCCUUACAACCAGCUACACCUUUCGUUGCAGCCAAAACUAUUUUUGAUAAUUUGUUUCUGACAUUUUGAUUUAUAUGAUUGUUAAUCAGUAAAUUUAUAUAUCUUAUCGUGAAUCUGCCUUGAAUGAUGGCUUCGGAGUAAAAUAAAAUUUAAAGACGUGUUUAGCAGUUUGCUUUUCUUGCUGCUGGCUGAAACGUUCUGUGGCAGUGCACUUCACUUUUGCCAAGUUGCGCCACUAAUGUUGUCAUCUUAACAAUGUUGACAGGCACCUGGUAUCAUUGGAAAAACUUCAGGAGGUCUUGACCCGAGGUUAUUUUUUCCGUUUUUUUAAUUUUCCCUCGCAUCAGGUGGCCUUCGAUUCUAUUCAAAAUAUUUGUUGUAAAUCUUCUCUCUUGAACUGUUUACUUUCAGGAAAGGAAAAAAAAAAAAAUCUAAUUUUCAAUUUUCCUCUAUUGUUCAGUCAGAUGUUGCAAUACGCAGAUUCCCGUUUUAAAUAUGAAAAAAAAAGAAAAAUCGGAUA